CAGGUGUUGCUGAGCACAACCACCGGCACAAGCGACAGCUAAAUGGCCUGUUCACCAGUAUAUUAGAUGGAGUCAAGAACCUUGUGAAUACCGGAACAAGCAUCGCCGGGCUCGGCACAGGCAUGCUCAACUUGGGAGGCGACGAAGGCAUCGGUGGUGUCGUCAGCGGAAUGCUAAACCUUCUCUCUAUUGGAUCUGAAAUCCUCACCGGCAUACUUGGCACCCUGCUGAACGGCGACCUCCUGGGUGGACUGUUGCCUUUCGUUGGCGGCCAGGGAUAGUGCUCGCAUGCGAUGAAUUAAAACGUGUGAUGACAAUUUGGGUUGCCUCAUUCGUUAUCCUUGGUGUGUGUACUAGUUUAUAGCAUUACUGCAGUUCUUGAGGAACACCGGCCUCAAUGACCGAUUGUAGUACUGCUGUGCGUCCUCCUGUG